UUCAGCUCAGUAUUUCCCCAACCUAAGUAACCCCUUUAAAGGUCCUGGUGCUCAGUGUCAUACCAAGUUUGAAACAUCUCACAGGUGAACGUAUUCAAAAACAACUGCAAUCAGUUUGCCCACAGCGAGAUGUGACAGGACAAGCCCGGCCAGCACCAUUAGGCAUUUGUAGAAGCUCAGGAUCGAGGAUGGGCAGAGCCCGGGGCACGCAGAGAUAAGGAGGAGUCGCGGGUCUGGUCUUGUCUCAGCCUGAUGCUCGCCGCAGACAUCUGGAAGGCGGAAUGUUUACUUGGGACAGCGCCUCGCUUGAGGACGGGCCGGGGGGGUGGGGAGGCCCCUUCAGAUUCUGGGCUUCAUCCUCAGCAGCUGGUUACGGCACUUCUUUUUGAACAAAAAUGGGAAUUUUCAGUUCUUGUUCCAUCCCCAAUGAGCAAAUGUAUUAUUAUUAAUAUUUUUUUUUACAUAAGUGCUUAUGUCGCCAAACACGUUUUUCAACCUCCCUUGCAAGAGUGUUUGUUUGCACUUGGUGAACCUAUCCCGCUAUUCCAGUAUUUCAUAGCAUAAAAACCUGUCAUUGUUGUGCUGGACCAGUGUUGGGGUCGGUUGUUAGUGCUGCCGUGGUCUGAAUACCAUGCAUGCACAAGCAGGUUGGUUUGGACAAUCAAUUAAAGAUGCCUUUUUAGUUUUAUUUUCUUCUUUAGAUUCUUUCAUUGACUACACAUCAAUGAUGCUGUUGUUGGGGUUGUGAUAUUCGAUGCAUAGACGAAGAUAGUGAACAUUUCUCGGGGGCUCAGUGUAAAUGGUGAUGUCACUGGUGCCUCAUACAGACCUGGUACUACUUCAGCUCCACUGUAGGUUAGUUUGUGUGCUGAACCUUCAAAUAUUAACCCAAGCAAUCAGCCCAUUCUUUUCAUUCUUUUGUCUCACUGGUUACUUUCUCUAGCUAUUGGUCAGUCUGAGAUUAGUUUUAUCCUUGUUGAUACAGGGAAGAAAAGAUAAUGGCAAUUUUUCCAGAUAGUUUGAAGCGCUUAACAGAACUGCAGUUUAGAAGUAAUUGGCUUUGUUUAGUUUUUUCCUAAAUGAGCGACUCGUUGAUAGAGGGGAAACAAGCAGCUGCCUCUUAUUGGUGGGUAUGUGACAUUGACCUAUGUGGUUAGAGCCCCAAGGACAUCUGUCGCUUUGGUGAAAGAUUUAUUAAAGACCACAAGGCUUGAGAGAUUAGCAGGGCUGUGAAACACUUUGCUUUCAUGCAUUUUGCCAGCCAUCCUCCAUAUCAUUAUGUUUGUAAAUUAAUAAUAUCAAAGUUCAUUAGUUUCUUUCACACAUGCAGUAUGUAUAUAUAUGCUUUUCCGAUUUUACAGUCCAUGUUUGCGCCAUCUGUUAAAAGAAAACUCUGAUACAUAUCUGUCAAAAUGCCUUCAUGGGGCCUACAGACUCCUUUUGCACAAAUACUGAUAACGCCCCAUAUUUAUGAAAUUCUGUUAACCAGGCAAUAUCCAGUUGUUGAAUUAGAAAUGAGCUUGUGAUCAGUCCCGUCCCACCCUUUCUUUCCAACAAUAUGCAGCUGCUCAGGUUGUGCAUUAUAUUACAAAAUGAGCUGUGAUCGCAAACUCCGCUCUCUACUUUGAAUGUAAUUAAUUUAAUGAUUGUUGCUGCCAUGCAACAUUAUUUCUUGUUGCUAGUUCUAAGCCUAACCCUACUUCCAGUGUCAGUCAAAACAUGGCAGUCAAAGACGGCAUGGCUAAUACAUUUUUGAUGAGAAAAUAAUUAUUUGAAGAAUAAACCACAAUAUGGUGUGUACACCUCCACACACCGGCAGUCCAGUGUGGCUCCUGGGAUUGGACUGAUGGAUGUUUUACCUGCAGUCAAGCUGCGCUGACUGUACAGGUUCGGCUCUCGUCUGGGACUCUGACGGCAUGUCACAGCCUGUAGGGAGAUACAUUUGACGUGAGACUGCAUGCACCAGGUUGUUAUUGUUGUGAAAACGGACCACUGGAACCUCUCAAACAAUGUGUAAUAGUGUUUCUACUGUUCUAGACUACAGGAAAUAAUUGCUGAUGGGUGUUAAGUCACUGAUAUUUGGUGCUUGCUUUCAAAGGCAGCCUCAUUGUGAGUUGUUUGUCACGAUGAAUCGUACCCAAGGCGGAUUCGCACAACCUGGAUUUUCAACACUGCGCCAAAAGGCUGCAAAAAGAUGACUCAUACAAAUCACUGAUUUGAACCCACAUGUGACGAUAAAGUUACUGCAGCUUAUCAUCAACUCUGUCACCUCUACUGGGCGUGUCAUUAAUGCCACUAUAAAAUGAAGACCUUAAAAGAACUUUCAUCUUGACUUUAGUGCCUAUGACAAAAAAAAAUGUUUUUUGAGAUGUAUUUGCAUUCACUUUUUUAAAAAGGUGAUGUAGUUGUUAGAGAACAUGCUCUGCAGUGGGUAAACAAUCUUCUUUACUGUGUGUAUGUGUAUAUACACUGAUAACAUGUUGUUAGCACUGCAAUCUGUUCUUAUGACAAUUCCUUCACUGCAAAAGACACACAUGAUUGAGAUAAUGGGUUCCUGCAGUGAAGCAGGAAUAGUUGCAUAUUAUUUUUUCUCUUUCCUAUAUAAGUUAAAACUUAAAAUCUUAAUUGUUGUUGCAAAACACUUAAUUCAUAGCUAUUUUUAUUCCUGUUGUUUUUGGCCCAUAUUCCCAUACCCAAAAAGUCGCACAACACUUAUUGCGUCACAAAAUGCACCGCAGUGGAGCUGUGGGUUUGGCUCCAGGUGACUUCAGCAGGUUACCCAAGGCACUGCCUCGACACUCCUUGUUGUUUUUUUUUAUCAGAGUUUGUUUCAGCUACCACCGCCUCCCAACCUCACCUCCGCACACAAACAGUCCAGCUACACUGAAGAGCAAACCCUGAUAGUACCAUGUUCAAAGGCCACUUCCUCCCACUCAUCUGUGGAAAUGCCCGUUUGACGGUAGAGUGAGAUGGGAAGUUUCGUUUGAGAGUUUUUCUCAAAAAAUCCUAAAAUAACUU